GCGGAUGUGGUGGAAUUGGUAGACACGCUAGAUUUAGGUUCUAGUGCCUUCGGGCGUGGGAGUUCAAGUCUCCCCAUCCGCACCA
rnacentral:tRNA from 3 species